AGAAAUGUUGUGCAGCUUGGUAGCGCAUUUGUUUUGGGUACAAAAUGUCACAGGUUCAAAUUUUGUUAUCCCUA
rnacentral:tRNA from 1 species